AUGGAACGCUGGCGGCAUGCCUUACACAUGCAAGUCGAACGGCAGCGGGGGAGAAGCUUGCUUUUCCUGCCGGCGAGUGGCGAACGGGUGAGUAAUACAUCGGAACGUGCCCUGUAGUGGGGGAUAACUAGUCGAAAGAUUAGCUAAUACCGCAUACGACCUGAGGGUGAAAGUGGGGGACCGCAAGGCCUCAUGCUAUAGGAGCGGCCGAUGUCUGAUUAGCUAGUUGGUGGGGUAAAGGCCUACCAAGGCGACGAUCAGUAGCUGGUCUGGUAGGACGUUCGGCCACACUGGGACUGAGACACGGCCCAGACUCCUACGGGAGGCAGCAGUGGGGAAUUUUGGACAAUGGGCGAAAGCCUGAUCCAGCAAUGCCGCGUGUGUGAAGAAGGCCUUCGGGUUGUAAAGCACUUUUGUCCGGAAAGAAAUGGCUCUGGUUAAUACCUGGGGUCGAUGACGGUACCGGAAGAAUAAGCCCCGGCUAACUUCGUGCCAGCAGCCGCCGUAA
rnacentral:rRNA from 1 species